GAGGGUAUAGCUCAAUGGUAGAGCACAUGCCUAGCAUGCAUGAGGUCCUGGGUUCAAUCCCCAGUGCCUCCA
rnacentral:tRNA from 1 species